AGUGGCGCACGGGUGAGUAACACGUAGCUCACUUGCCCUCAGGUGCGGGAUAACGUUUCGAAAGGGACGCUAAAACCGCAUAAGCUCACGAGUUGCAGAGACUUGAGAGAAAAGAUUUAUCGCCUGAGGAGAGGGCUGCGGCCUAUCAGGUAGUUGGUGGGGUAAUGGCCUACCAAGCCGACGACGGGUAGGGGGCCUGAGAGGGUGGUCCCCCACACUGGGACUGAGACACGGCCCAGACUCCUACGGGAGGCAGCAGUAAGGAAUAUUGCUCAAUGGGCGCAAGCCUGAAGCAGCGACGCCGCGUGGGCGAUGAAGGUCUUCGGAUCGUAAAGCCCUUUUUUAGGUGACGAGAACGGACGGUAGCCUAAGAAUAAGUCUCGGCUAACUACGUGCCAGCCGCCGCGGUAA
rnacentral:rRNA from 1 species